rnacentral:hammerhead_ribozyme from 1 species
GUCCGACUGACGAGUCCCAAAUAAAGCGAAAUGCUCGUCUCGAAU